GAACCUCGUAAUUUAAUCUGAGACGGAAAGCACAACACAAUGAUCCUCCAUUCAGUUAUUCUGCUCUCUGCUUUAGCAUGUGCCAGUAAUGGAGAUACUAUUACACCAGACAAAACUGAGGAGUUUGCUGCUGAAGGUUCAAAUGUUACAUUAUCCUGCAGUUAUUCAUCUGCUUGGUCUUUGCUUUGGUACCGUCAGUAUCCCGGAUCGGCUCCUGAGUUCCUUGUGCUCAUCUCAGAUGGAACAAAAAAAGCUCAGACCUCUGGUGUAGAUAAAAGAUUCAGCACUAAUUUCAGAAAAGAAAAACAGACCAAUGUGGAUCUGAUCAUCUCCUCUGCUGCUGUAUCAGACUCUGCUCUGUAUUACUGUGCUCUGGAGCCCACAGUGACAGGAAACACAAGAACAUUGCACAAAAAUUUGACUGUAAAAAAUAAACAAUGGUCUUCUAAAGACAAGGAGAAACGUGACCCUUAAUUCUUGGGUUUAUUAAGAGAGUGGAGUAGUGGGGAUCACAAACUAUGUUCAAAAGUACCUUCAAGCUAAUACCAUUUUGGAAAAAAAUAUUUCCAAUUGUUUAGUCAUUUGAUACUCUCUC